GUAUCAUACAAGUAUAAAAAAUAUUUUAAAAUUGCCUUCAUAGCUUUAACUGCAAGUGAGACAUUUACGUUUAACAAAUCAUGUUUUUUUUUUUGCAGUUUUCCAGGUUGCUAUGGUGGCAUUAUUGCAUAGAUGAGAGACCAUCCAUGAUUCAUACACAACAUCGACUGACGUGGUUUCAGAUCUGGAGCAGGAAGGGUGACCGUGUGUACAUACAGAUCAUGGACUAAGGUAUUGUCAGAUCUGGAGCAUAAAUGGUGUGUAUGUUUUCAUAUUUUCUUUGUCUGGAAUGUUUAAGGUACCCUUAGAAUUAAUAUAGGUUUCUGUUUUUACACAUAACUUUAUGGGUUUUUUUCUAAAUACUAAAAUGGGUAGCCACGGAAACAUACGUCUAGGCAAUGAAAUAAAUAGAUGGCAGCUGUUCAGAUGUACAAUCUUAUACAGCAGAUUUUGGAAAAUACAGGGAGUGUACAUGUAUGUUUACUUUUUGUUUUUUGUGGCAACACUUUGAUACAUUUGUUUUUGUUUUACACAUGCCUUUUGUAUCCAUACACACAACUGCAACAGGGGCUCCAUGGAAACGUGUCUCUACGUCUAGGAAUUGGUAUAAUGGGUGACCAACGUUCAGAGUUUGGAACAUAUAGGGUUUGUAUGUUUACUUUUUAUUUUUUUGUGGCAUCAUUUGGAUAUAUUUGUUUUUUAUUUUACACAUGCCUCUCUGUAUCUAUACAUUCAACAGGAUAACCAUGGAAACCAACAUCUACAUCUAGGCAAAGGUUCAAACAGCAGUGAGAGAAAUCCUGCAACCGGCAAACGCUUAGCUUUAAUUAAUCUAAGCCUUGCUAGGACCUGUAAAUGAAUUCAGGCAAAACUUGAAUAUAAACAAACAUCUGGAUAAUAGGUGUGCUUAUUGAAUUAUUGAAAACCCAAUCUACCUUGUAUGUUUUUGCUGCGGAAUUCUUGGUGUUUGGUGUCUGCUGUUUUGUCAGGCUUUUGUUUACAAUGGCUACUUGGUGGUGAUUGUGGUGUUGUUUGUGUGUUUGUGGUGGUUGUUUUGGUGUUUGUGGUGGUGGUUUUGGUGUUUGUGGUGGUGGUUUUGGUGUUUGUGGUGGUUGUUUUGGUGUUUGUGGUGGUUGUUUUGGUGUUUGUGGUGGUGGUUUUGGUGUUUGUGAUGGUGUAUUCCAUGUGAUCUUCUCAGUUGUAUUCGAUUUCGAUAAUGUUUUCGUUGUUUUGUUAAAAUAGGCUUUUGAUGCACAUUGUUUGUCGCAUUGGGUUCUUAAUCUUUCGUUCCGUUCCAAGAUGAUUUCCUUUCUGCCAUUAGCAAUACAUUAUAACUAGAUUUAUUGAUGUACACAAAUAUUGCGCUGUGAUUAAUCUGUCAGUUUACGUUUCCCAUCAGUUCUAGAUAGUUGCAAGGACAUGUCAUGAAAUUUGCAGACGACGGAUAUGGGGUGCAGGCGAGAUCUGGGUUGAACUCGCGAAAGCUGCAAAGACAUGCCAUGAAAUAUGCAGACGACAGACAUGCGGUGCAGACGAGAUCUUGGUUGAACGCGCGAAAUUGUUUUAUUUAUUUCUGCGUUUUACGCUUUUUGUUUUUGUUCUUUUUUCUGCUAGAAUGCUGGGGUAUGUAUACUUGAAGAAAAAAGACGCAGACGGACAUGGAGAUGCAGACCAAGCAAAAUGUGCGUUUCUCUUUAUGAUGAACAGGUAUGUAUAUUGCUAAUUAUGUUAUCCUUUUUUUGUAUGCAUUUUUUCAACCUGGUGGCUGAUGUUUACAAGCACGUGUGAAUAUAUCCAGUUGUAGACAAUGCAAUGGUUUUGUAGGUGGUGCAGCUAUGGUACAUGAUAUUGACUACAAUUACGUGCGUGGAUGUCAUGAAGAUUUCACAGUGGUUAAGUGGAUGCUGCAACUUGAUCCUUUUUCUAAGGUAUGUAAUUUUUUUUGACAGGUACAAUUAGAUAAUUUCGUUUGAUAGCUUUUUUGCAGUUUACAUCCCGCAAGUUACGCACAUUCAUCUUCAUUUUAAUAGAUUUUCUAUAAAUUUUAUAUUUUCUGGUUAUCGUAUGGUCGUACAUGGUUUUAAUUCUUUUUUUUUAGCUCAUCUGAUUUUUUGGAGAAAAAAAAAAUGAUGAGUUAUUGUCAUUAAAUUUUACAAAAUAACAAUUUCGGUAACAAAACUUAAGGAUUAUAUAUCCAUAUGUAAUAAGAGGAUUUAUAACAUGACAGUUAGUUGCCAAUUAUAUCUAGCAGACGACACUUGCUGCUUUUACCAGAUGAAGCCAGUGGCGGAAGAAGGGACCCGAUGCCUGGAGUAACUUUGCAGUAUAAAAUUUUGCACUGUUCGAUUGGUCAAGAUAGUGUGGUUUUAGUGGAAUUCAGCCCUUGAUGGACAUAUCGUCUGUAUUUGCCCUGGCCUGGUGAUGGUAGAGAGCUCUUCCACACCUCGUGCACAUAUCAGAAUCCGCGAGGUAGGCGACGAAUUUAU